CCGUGGGCGUUCAUGGAGGAUGGUACACCGGCCGCCGGCUCCGGCCGCCAGUCCUCUCAGGCCUCCUCCGUGGUAUCCUUCUCAACCUCCGCUGCUCCUAUCAUGAUUUGGAUGGAAAAUUGGAGGCCGGCCGUGUCCUUCUCCAACACAAAUUGAUGUAGUGCCCGACCCGAUUUGAUUGGCUGCUAUAAGAAGCAAGGGUCCUCGGCCGGAAUCUCCAUCAGGUUUUGCCCUUCGACCAUAAUCUCCAUCAUCCUGUCCAAAUUGCAAUUUUUGAACAAACAUCCAAUGUCGCCGCCAAGUUCGCCGGAGGAAGAAGCGCCAAGUUCGCCGGAGGAACAAGCGCCGAGUUCGCCGGAGGAACAAGAACGCCCGCCGAGUCCUGUGGUGGCUACACGAGAGGUAUGUAUCCCCUCGAAGCUACGCCACGGCGCGGUAGAGCCUGAAGUUCGUCAAAACUUGACCUAACCGUGACCGUCAUUGACGCCACCUUGCUGCCGCUGUUGCUGGAGAUGAGCUGAAUAUCAAGCUUUGGUUGCCUCUUUGCUUCCACUUCACUGCUCUUCGACUAUCUGUAAUUGUAAAACACCUAAUACGAUUCUUCAGCACUUGAUACUGGUGGUCAUGGUCUUCUUCUCUUACUGUUGCGAGACUUGGUUUUAGUUAGUAAUCUUGAGAUCAAGUGUACUCGUGGAUUGCUUAGAUGGAGGACCACUGUUGGUUUUGUACUUAGAUGCGAUUGUGAAUCAUGUACGGUUCAAUUCAGAUUCAUGUGGUAUUUUUCCUAAAUUUGUGCCUGCCUGAACAUUAUUACUAUUAAACUAUGAAUAAUGAUUUUUGCAACUGUAGGAGAAUUUCUUCGCCGCAUCACAAGAAAAACAAUUUGAAACAGAGAACUGUACUGAACCUUCUAAUUAUUGUAUGAACUUGCUUCACUUAAUUUGAACGGCAUAUUUUUCAGUAGAAUUAAGUGCCGGGUGCCACUUGAGAGAAUAAAAGAAUGAUCAGCUAUUUUUUUCACAGUUAUGAUUUAGUCAACAUUGAUGUCCGUCUGCAAAAAGCUUAUUCUGAUUUGGAGUUGAUUUUUUUUCAGGCCCUUAAGGUGAGUGAUGAACAUCCGUUGAGCCGUCCAAUGUUGCCUUUGGCAACUACACCAGAGGUGCCAAAGGCAUCCAAUCCAACUCAGGUGGAGGCCAAGGAGGUUCAGCUCUCGGACAUUGCACCAAUAAUGCUGGAUGAUACCGACGUGAAGACU